GUCUACUGCCACACCACCCUGAACAUGCCUGAUCUCAUCUGAUCUCAGAAGCUAAGCAAGGUCAGGCCUGGUUAGUACUUAGAUGGGGAAAGAUGGAACCUAAAAGGCCUUAGUGGGGAAGGUG
rnacentral:rRNA from 1 species